AUUGAACGCUGGCGGAAUGCUUUACACAUGCAAGUCGAACGGUAGAGGGGGCAACCCCUCGAGAGUGGCGAACGGGUGAGUAAUAUAUCGGAACGUGCCCAGUCGUGGGGGAUAACGUAGCGAAAGUUACGCUAAUACCGCAUACGAUCUAAGGAUGAAAGCGGGGGAUCGCAAGACCUCGCGCGAUUGGAGCGGCCGAUAUCAGAUUAGGUAGUUGGUGGGGUAAAGGCUCACCAAGCCAACGAUCUGUAGCGGGUCUGAGAGGACGACCAGACCAAAUGGAACUGGGAAACGGGCCAAACUCGUACGGGAGGCAGCAGUGGGGAAUUUUGGACAAUGGACGCAAGUCUUAUCCAGCCAUUCCGGGUGCAGGAUGAAGGCCCUCGGGUUGUAAACUGCUUUUGUACGGAACGAAAAGGUCUCUCUUAAUACGGGGGACUCGUGACGGUACCGUAAGAAUAAGCACCGGCUAACUACGUGCCAGCAGCCGCCGUAA
rnacentral:rRNA from 1 species